ACUCCUACGGGAGGCAGCAGUGGGGAAUAUUGCACAAUGGGCGCAAGCCUGAUGCAGCCAUGCCGCGUGUGUGAAGAAGGCCUUCGGGUUGUAAAGCACUUUCAGCAGUGAGGAAGGCGGAGUCGUUAAUAGCGGCCUCGUUUGACGUUAGCUGCAGAAGAAGCACCGGCUAACUCCGUGCCAGCAGCCGCGGUAAUACGGAGGGUGCGAGCGUUAAUCGGAAUUACUGGGCGUAAAGCGCAUGCAGGUGGUUUGUUAAGUCAGAUGUGAAAGCCCGGGGCUCAACCUCGGAAUAGCAUUUGAAACUGGCAGACUAGAGUACUGUAGAGGGGGGUAGAAUUUCAGGUGUAGCGGUGAAAUGCGUAGAGAUCUGAAGGAAUACCAGUGGCGAAGGCGGCCCCCUGGACAAAGACUGACGCUCAGAUGCGAAAGCGUGGGGAGCAAACAGGAUUAGAUACCCUGGUAGGAUAGCG
rnacentral:rRNA from 1 species